rnacentral:rRNA from 1 species
AGUCGAGCGGAACGAGUUAUCUGAACCUUCGGGGGACGAUAACGGCGUCGAGCGGCGGACGGGUGAGUAAUGCCUAGGAAAUUGCCCUGAUGUGGGGGAUAACCAUUGGAAACGAUGGCUAAUACCGCAUAAUGCCUACGGGCCAAAGAGGGGGACCUUCGGGCCUCUCGCGUCAGGAUAUGCCUAGGUGGGAUUAGCUAGUUGGUGAGGUAAUGGCUCACCAAGGCGACGAUCCCUAGCUGGUCUGAGAGGAUGAUCAGCCACACUGGAACUUAGAACACCGGUCCAAGACUCUUCGGGGAGGCAGCAGUGGGGAAAAUUGCACAAUGGGGCGCAAAGCCUGAUUGCCGCCAUGGCCCGCGGGGGGUGAAGAAAAGCCCCUCGGGUUUGUUAAGCACUUUCACAUCCUUGAGGAAAAGUGGUGUAGUUAAUAAGCUGCGAUUAUAUUGAAGGGUAAACGACAGGAAGAAAACACCCGGCUAUACACCCGCUGGCACGCAGCCGCGGGUGAUAACAGGGAGGUGGCGCAGAGGGUUAUCGGGAAUAUAUUGGGGCCGUAAAGCGCAUGCGGGGUGGGUUGUGUAAGUCCCAUGUGGAAAGCCCGGGGGCUCCCCCCUCGGAAUAGCAUUUUGAAACUGGGCAGACUAGAAGUACUGUAGAGGGGGGGUAGAAUUUCAUGCGUGUAGCGGUGAAAUGCGGUAGAGAUCUGAAGGGAAUACCGGUGGCGGAAGGCGGGCCCCCCUGGACAGAUACCUGACACUCACAUGCGAAAGCGUGGGGAGCGAAACAGGAUUAGAUACCCUGGUAGUCCACGCCCGUAAACGAUGUCUACCUUCGGAGGUUGUGGCCUUGAGCCCCCGCCUUUCGGAGCUAACGCGUUAAGUAAACAGCCUGCGCGAGUACGGUCGCAAGCAUGAAAACUCAAAUGAAUUGACGGGGGCCCGCACAAGCGGUGGAGCAUGUGGUUUAAUUCGAUGCAACGCGAAGAACCUUACCUACUCUUGACAUCCAGAGAACUUUCCAGAGAUGGAUUGGUGCCUUCGGGAACUCUGAGACAGGUGCUGCAUGGCUGUCGUCAGCUCGUGUUGUGAAAUGUUGGGUUAAGUCCCGCAACGAGCGCAACCCUUAUCCUUGUUUGCCAGCGAGUAAUGUCGGGAACUCCAGGGAGACUGCCGGUGAUAAACCGGAGGAAGGUGGGGACGACGUCAAGUCAUCAUGGCCCUUACGAGUAGGGCUACACACGUGCUACAAUGGCGCAUACAGAGGGCAGCAAGCUAGCGAUAGUGAGCGAAUCCCAAAAAGUGCGUCGUAGUCCGGAUUGGAGUCUGCAACUCGACUCCAUGAAGUCGGAAUCGCUAGUAAUCGUGGAUCAGAAUGCCACGGUGAAUACGUUCCCGGGCCUUGUACACACCGCCCGUCACACCAUGGGAGUGGGCUGCAAAAGAAGUAGGUAGUUAACCUUCGGGAGGACGCUACC